rnacentral:lncRNA from 1 species
UUAACACCAACACCGUAGAACAUUUGCUCUUUACAAUUGUAGGAACCUUUCAACUUUACUAACUUAAGAAGAUUUAAAGCCCACACUCUCAAUAUUUUUGGAUGGGAAAAUCUUUAAAACAAUACAAAUUUUUCAGCCGUUACAGCAAACACCUUGGUUUGCUUUAGUGGUAAUACAAUCAUGAAGACUGUUUAGCCCAAUUACUUGUAGAGAACGCACGGAAGUGGAUUGUCAUAUACGGUUCACAGAGUUGAGUUGUUACCGUAGUUGAUUAUAGGGAUUGCCAAGAGAAUCGGCUCAGGUAUGUUAAGGCCCUUCCUUCUUUCUUUUGACAUGGUCCAGAUUAUACGAAAGAAACGAGCAAAUACACGGUUUCUAUAAAUUAUUCUAUUCGUAGAAAUAGUAGGGGUGUCUAUAUUCUUGAUUCCCCAUGAGAAUUACUAUUAUAUUCUAUUCAUGGGUCUCAGAAUAAUACGCAGCUGGAAAAGUUUAUCUGGAAGGAAUAUCGAGAUUAUUACGUAUUUUCAUGCAUUUUACUUAUUUAUACAUGUGCAUUGACCCAUGACCAGAUGGUGUUAUAUUUGCAUAUAUAUGUAAAAAUAUGUAUAUGGGAUAUGGGAAAAGAUUACGGUGUUAUAUACGCACCACCACCUGAUCAACUGGUAUAUGAUGAUGAUGUUGCACACAGUGGCUGAAAUAUGAUUGAAACAGCGUUAUAUACGCAUAUAUGGGUAUGUAUUCAAAUGGCGUUAUAUACGCAUAUAUAUAUGUAUGUAUUCAAACGGCAUUAUAUACGCGUAUAUAUGUAUGUAUAUAUAUGUAUAUGGGACAUGGGAAUGGUUAUGGCGUUAUAUACGUACCACCACCUGAUCAGCUGGUAUACGAUUAUGACUUUGCCCACAGUGGCCGAUAUGAUAUGAUGGGAUGCCCUCAGAGGCUGAUGAUAUUAUGUAAAUCCAUACCUAUGCAUGGCUUGACAUUUACACGCACGUGCAUGACGUUAUAAGCAUUUCAAAAUAUACAAAGUUAUUCAGAUUUAAAGAUGUGUUUCAGUAUUCCAUGUUUCAUCUAUGUCUAUUACGUACUAAUUUCCAUGCCUUAUAUACUCAGUACAUUUUCCGUACUGACGCCCUAUUACACGGGGCCUGCGUUUCAUGUCCGCAGGUGCAGGUAGACAAGCUGACGGUCCUCCUUCUUAGGAUCCCUGAUCAGCGAGAGUUGGCGUGCUCCAUUUGAUCCGGAGCUGCUUUUGAUAUGGGUACGAUACGUUUGUACAUAUAUAUGUAUAUGAGUAUGAUGUGGCUCAGUCCUAUCUUUGUAUAGUUAUGUUUCUGUUAGAGGUCUGUAGACAGUAUGUCUAGUUGGGUUAUAUGUGGCCUUGUCGGCUUUCAGUUUUUGAUGUAUAGUUGUCUAUAGCAGCCUUGCCGGCUCGCCCACGGUAUUAUGCCUGUAUACGUACAUAUGCCUUGAUGGCAGGUCUUCUUUCAUGUAUGUUAAUUUUG